UCUGGUGAUGAUGGCGAAGUGGACACACCUGUUCUCAUCCCGAACACAGAAGUUAAGCACUUCAGCGGCGACAAUAUCCAGACGUGCUCUGGUGAAGAUAGCACGUCGCCAGUU
rnacentral:rRNA from 3 species